GGCUCCUCACACACACACAGAUAUACCCCCCCCCACACACACACACCCUGCCACAGCCUCACUCCCCCUGCCCGCUCUUAAAGGCACAGCGCCCAAAACACAGAGACACGACCAGCUGGCAGAAACCGGAGGCGGAGCAGCAAGGGGUUCUUCUACAUCCUGUUUCCAGUAGAACCCGGCCCAGCAGAUCCUGGCCCAAAUGGACCCCAGUGAUGGAGCAGAACCUCCAGCUGGUCCUUGAACAGACCCAGAUCCAUGGACUCCAUACUGCAUGAGAAUGAAACCGGACCAGAACCAGAACCUGACACCAGACGAGACAAACUCCUUCAGCUGAUUUAAAACUUUCUUCCGGAUCGUUGGGAGGUUCUGGUUUCUUCUUCUUCUGCAGCAGACGUUGUGAAGCGUCAGAGGAGCCUGGCGGUCCAAUCCCAGCUGAACAGAACCAGUCUCUGAUCGUCUGGUAGUCCGGUAGACUCGGUUCUGCUGUCGUUCUCUUUCUCUCUGCUCUGAGUCUGUUCCCCUCCCGGCCUGUGGGGGCGCUGCCCCAAGAACCACUGAAGGAAACGACACAAAAACCUCUGAACCCAGAACCAGCACCUUUUUGACAGCACUCCACCACUGCGGGUCAACGCGAUGGUGGAGUGUGUGACUGCAGCAUCACAUUAUUUGCUGCAGACGGUGAAACUUUUCCCACAGUAACAGCCAGAGGGUUUCCUGUAGCUCUGGGCUCACAAAUAAAAUAAUUUAGACAUAGAACUGAGAUAAAUGCAGUAAAACCUGGAGAAUGGAUCAGAACCACGACAGGGUACGGUAAAGUCCAGGUUCUGUGACCUGUUUAGACUGACUGACGGUUCUGAUGGACCGGAUGGCCGAGGUCCGAACAGAACCGGGUCGAUCUCUGCCAACAGAAUAACAGCAGGCUCCGCUAUGUGGAGAAACCGGCAGGGUUCAACAUUCCCAUCAGGAAUGUGGGAAAUAUUUCAGCAUGGAGCGAUCUGAUUGGCUGAGGAGGAGCAGCUGGGGUUACAGUUGCCUUGGCAACCAGUGAAUCAUGAGGAAGAAAGGAGCAGCCUGCCGGACCUGCAAGCUGAUGGGCUGGAGGUUCUGGUUCUGACCAGAUUCACCUCCACAUGCUGACCCCUAGUGGCCGUCCUGAUUACUGAAGCGAGGUGAGAACCCAAACCCGGGUCUACACUCCGCUUCCCCAGAACCAGAACCAUGUAGAAGCAGCAUUCAGCUUCUAUGCUCCACAGGUCUGGAACAAACUUCCAGAAAACUGAAAAGCUGCUGAAACCCUGAGCUCCUUCAGCCAUUCAGCUGUUAGGGCUGAAUUUAUUAUUGAUCGAUGGAUUUUACUUGUAUUGAUGAUUUAUUGAUGGCACUUGACAAAAUCUAAUAUUUGUUGCUUUCAUCCACAAUUGAAAACUGUUUUAUGUUGAUCUGAAGACCCGACCCAGAACCAAACCAGAACCAACACAGAGAACCUCCAGACUCCAUGCAGAAAGACUCCAGGCUGGGAAUUGAGCCCACAACCUUCCCACUGCAAGGCAGCAGCUCCAGCAACUGGAUCAUUCUUAGAAACCAGAACUUUUAAAUGUUUACAUACCGGCUCAGAUACGAUCAGGAAUUAAACCUGAUUAAACAGGGAGCUAUGAGAAACGAAUGAAAUCAUCACAACAGGAACCCGCUAACAGGAACAUGCUAACAGGAAGCUAGCUAACUGAAAACCCACUAACAGGACCUAGCUAACAGGAAGCUAGGUAACUGAAAACCCACUAACAGGACCAUGCUAACAGGAACAUGCUAACAGGAAACCCGCUAACAGGGACAUGCUAACUGAAACCCACUAACA